rnacentral:tRNA from 2 species
GGAGAUAUAGUUCAGUGGUAGAGUGCUUGCCUAGCAUGCAUGAGGCCCUGGGUACAAACCCCAGUGCCACCA